UNGGAAUUACUGGGCGUAAAGCGGGCGCAGACGGUUACUUAAGCAGGAUGUGAAAUCCCCGGGCUCAACCUGGGAACUGCGUUNUGAACUGGGUGACUAGAGUGUGUCAGAGGGAGGUAGAAUUNCCACGUGUAGCGGUGAAAUGCGUAGAGAUGUGGAGGAAUACCGAUGGCGAAGGCAGCCUCCUGGGAUAACACUGACGUUCAUGCCCGAAAGCGUGGGUAGCAAACAGGAUUAGAUACCCUGGUAGUCCACGCCCUAAACGAUGUCGAUUAGCUGUUGGGCAGCAUGACUGCUUAGUAGCGAAGCUAACGCGUGAAAUCGACCGCCUGGGGAGUACGGUCGCAAGAUUAAAACUCAAAGGAAUUGACGGGGACCCGCACAAGCGGUGGAUGAUGUGGAUUAAUUCGAUGCAACGCGAAGAACCUUACCUGGUCUUGACAUGUACGGAAUCCUCCAGAGACGGAGGAGUGCCUUCGGGAGCCGUAACACAGGUGCUGCAUGGCUGUCGUCAGCUCGUGUCGUGAGAUGUUGGGUUAAGUCCCGCAACGAGCGCAACCCUUGUCAUUAGUUGCCAUCAUUAAGUUGGGCACUCUAAUGAGACUGCCGGUGACAAGCCGGAGGAAGGUGGGGAUGACGUCAAGUCCUCAUGGCCCUUAUGACCAGGGCUUCACACGUCAUACAAUGGUCGGUACAGAGGGUAGCCAAGCCGCGAGGCGGAGCCAAUCUCACAAAACCGAUCGUAGUCCGGAUUGCACUCUGCAACUCGAGUGCAUGAAGUCGGAAUCGCUAGUAAUCGCAGGUCAGCAUACUGCGGUGAAUACGUUCCCGGGUCUUGUACACACCGCCCGUCACACCAUGGGAGUGGGGGAUACCAGAAGUAGGUAGGGUAACCGCAAGG
rnacentral:rRNA from 1 species